rnacentral:misc_RNA from 1 species
CAGUAGUCACCCGGGGCGCCGCAAGGCCUCCCGGGUAACCUACCACCCUUUGUUUAUUACACUUUGUUGCUUUGGCAAGCCUGCCCUCGGGCUGCUGGCUCCGGCCGGCGAGCGCUUGCCAGAGGACCAACCAAACCCUUUUUUUACCGGCAGUCUGAGUAAAAUAACAAAUAAGUUA